ACAGAGAUGGCGAGCGUUACUCGGAUUUAUUGGGUGUAAAGGGCAGGUAGGCGGCUAUGCAAGUUGGGGGUGAAAUCCUGUGGCUCAACCACAGAACUGCCCUCAAAACUGCAUGGCUUGAGGCUAGAAGAGGAGAGCGGAAUUCCCGGUGUGAGAGUGAAAACUGUAGACAUCGGGAGAAACACCAGUGGCGAAAGCGGCGCUCUAGUCUAGCCCGGACGCUAAGCUUCAAGAGCUAGGGGCGCUAACAG
rnacentral:rRNA from 1 species